rnacentral:rRNA from 1 species
GAUGAACGCUAGCGGCAGGCUUAAUACAUGCAAGUCGUGGGGCAGCGCAGUGUAGCAAUACAUGGGCGGCGACCGGCAAACGGGUGCGUAACACGUACGCAACCUUCCCGUUACUGGGGAAUAGCCCAGGGAAACUUGGAUUAAUACCCCAUAUUAUAUUGAUUGGGCAUCUAAUUAAUAUCAAAGCUUCGGCGGUAACGGAUGGGCGUGCGGUUGAUUAGGUAGUUGGCGGGGUAACGGCCCACCAAGCCUACGAUCAAUAGCUGAUGUGAGAGCAUGGUCAGCCACACGGGCACUGGGACACGGGCCCGACUCCUACGGGAGGCAGCAGUAAGGAAUAUUGGGCAAUGGACGAAAGUCUGACCCAGCCAUGCCGCGUGGAGGAUGAAGGUCCUCUGGAUUGUAAACUUCUUUUUUCUGGGGCGAAAACCGGUUUUUCUAAACCAUUUGACAGUACCAGAAGAAUAAGCACCGGCUAACUCCGUGCCAGCCGCCGCAGUAAGAC